GUAGUGGGAUGACAGGCUGAAAGCGGCGAUUCCGCCGUUUUUAGCCAGUCUUUCUAUCAUGUUUCGCGCACAACUUUUUAACAUACCUUUUUUUUUAUCAAAACCCAAAACCCAUAUUAAUAACAAUAUAAACAAAACCGAAAAACCAAACAAAAAACUCGUGACGGUGGAUGUCUAGGCUCCAGCAACGAUGAAGAACGCAGCAAAAUGCGAUACGUAGUGCGAAUUGCAGAAUCCGUGAAUCAUCGAAUCUUUGAACGCAAGUUGCGCUCGCGGGCAAUCCUGCGAGCAUGUCUGUUUGAGUGUCCGCACAAAUGAGACUUUUGCUUCUUUCCAACAGAGGAAGAAGCUGCUGAUGGGUGUUCUGUCCAUGUGCUAACCGCGCGUGGUGCAGGAGUUUCCGUGCAACCUGAAAGGGGGAAGCGGUCACCUGAAGAAUAGCUUUGUAUGGGAUGUUGUUUUGUUUGACUAGAGCUUUUGCUUGGCACGCUUUUAUUGUGUGUAGUGCAAAGCGGUUGUGGAAGGUGCAACCGUGAAGAUCGGCUAAACAAUGCUUUUCCCGCAGGAGUAGAAUACACGACUGUGAAAAUGGGGAUUGCAGAGGAUGGUUGGUUUUGGGCAAAAUGCCCUUUGUAUCGUCAGGCGAUUGCUUUUGGUCGAAUACUUCAUUGUAACAUAAACAGUAUAACAUUUUGGAUCUCAAAUCAGACAAGACGACCCGCUGAAU
rnacentral:rRNA from 1 species